AAUAAGUGUAGUUUUACACUGUUCGUAUCCAACAUUUGAUUGUUCGUCUUAGUUGAAUUUUGUUAUGAUUAGUAUUUUUAUUGUUAUUAGAUGAUAAAACAUAAAUUUUACUUUAUGUGUGACAAUUUUUUUAAUUUUUUAUAUUUUUUUUAAAUAAAACAGAUAUUCAAACGUUGGACACGGAUACCACGGCUACACUUAUU
rfam:Oryza glaberrima chromosome 8 Oglab08_0174_13, whole genome shotgun sequence.